UUUAAAAAAAAGAAUAAAAAUUAAUCAUUGAAUUUUGUUGAAUGAUGAUAAUAAAAAGAAUACCCGACUGAGUUUCUUGUGGGCUCUGCUCAGACCCUUUGGAAACCUCGUAGCUUUAGUUUUAAGUUUACGUAAUUAAUUAUCACCACUAUAUCAUCUU